CAGGGUUUGGAAAUUAUAAUGAGAUGUUUACUAUUGUGGAUGAAGUUCUGGCUGCUGCCCAUCAGGUGUGAAGAAGGAGAAGAAGAAAGAAGCAAGGAAACGAGUUGUAGUGCAAAGAUCCAAGGGCAAAUCUGAGUUUAUUGAGCCGAGGAGAUUCAGGAGCAGCAGCCGGUAGCUUUCAGAGACACACACUCAGCCGCCAGUUUACGAGGUACUUCCGCAAGCAAAGGGAAGAGCUCGGGAUGAUGGCAUCGCACACACCACCGCCUCAGCUUUAGCCUGGGAUUGAUUUAGUUGUUUUGAUUUGAUGUAGUAUGAUACAGUUUUCCGUACAGUAUUUCAUUAUGUUUUGGAAUACAUCACGCAUGGUUUUAUUAUAUGAUGCUCUGAUUACAGUUUUGAUUAUAUUAAAACAAAAAUUUAUGGGUCGUAUUUUUGGGUCGUUUCAAAAAAUCAUGUGUAUAUAUUUUUGAAGGCCAUGAAAGCUAUUGUCUGCUUUAUUCUACAACUAAAAUACACUUAGCAUCUCAUUUUAUAUUUUCCCCAGUCAUGCAGUUAUUCAGACAUGGAGCUACAGCCACUACAGCUGAAAAUAGGGUCAAUUUAGGUAUUUUUUAUUUAUUUAUUUACUUUCUGGGAAUUUGAUUAAUUUGAAAAUGUUUUUUGAAAAAAUUAUAUUUUGUUUCAGUUCUGUGUUUAAAGAGAUAUGAAAACACAGGGAAGGAAUUUACAAGUACCUGGUAUGGUGAAUGUCAACGGGAGAGCAGGCAAAAGCUUGAUCAGGUUGUGGCCACUUUAUGCCAGAACUCUCAAACUUACUUAUGAAGAGCAGAAGCUUUUGAUAGAGGUAUAACUAACUUCAAAAUUAUUGUUAAAAUUUCAUUUUAGGUCCUUCAAUUUAGAUGAUUUUUGCCAACUUUGGUCCUAAACCGUCUGUUCAAUGCUUGGUCCUUGAGA